UCAUACUUGGGCCCAAGUUCUAUCUUCAGCAGCUGUAGGUAGCUGUACAUCUUAUCACAGUUUGAAGAAUGGAGCAAACUAAGUUACAAACAGCAACAAUGGAUGAAGAAAAACAAAAAGAAGAGAUUACGUCAAGCCUCCUCAUCCUCCCAUACGAUAUCAUUGUGGACGAUAUUCUUCCAAGGUUACCCGUAAAAUCGAUAUUGAGAUUCAGUGCACCAAAAACCUGCUGGAGUUUCCGAGGUCUAUCGCAUCUCAGGACGCCAAUACAGUAUAGAAACUUACGUGGAGAGUCUUGUGUCAAUUUCUGGCGGUACUUAUGCAGGGGAGCCAACUGAUCUACAAAAACAAGCAGUAAGAGAGUAUCUACAGCAUAAAAAACGAACAGUAUUAAGCAAGUAUCUAAAGCAAAUGGAGAUAAGCAACCAAGCAGAGAAAGCUGCGUAACAAGCAAUGGAUGUAGUUGCAAGUUAUGUUGCAUCCACAUUUUCAAUGAUGCAUCUGUAUGUUUUUACUAAUGUAUCUUUUAUAGGUCUCACUUUACUUGGUAGUUUUGCUGCGCGCAUCAGUUUCUCAGUAUGUUUUCACCUUGUUACACCUAGAUUAUGGUUUUGACGCAGGCCAGCUAUGUUUGAACAAUUAUUCGUCUUGUUUAGAUGUUUUCUAUUGAACAUUUUUUACACA